UAUAAGCCUUCUAGUAUUAUAGAUGUGUGGUACUUUGUGUCCUGUUUCCCUCCCUUUCCUCAUCUCCACCAUGUAUACAAGUUGCUACAAGCAGCCUAGAGCUACCCAAACAUCUGUAAGGUAUUUGCGUAGUUCGCAAACAGCCUUUCAGGAUAUUGAGCACUUGUGGAAAAUUGGGCCAUUAUUUUUCAGAAUGUAAAAGGGUUUUAAAACUGGAUUGUUGGGGGCACAAACUUUGCAAAUCAAUUUAACAAUGUAACUUAUAUCCAACUGGCUCUCAUCACCAGGGUUUUAGAGCUGCUGUGGUAGUGUAAGGAAGCAAAGCUUUACAUUUGACCCUCUCGUUAUGCAAUUCCCUCAGGUAUAUGUGACUCUCCGGAAACUUUUCAAUUUGAUGACUUCCUGCUAGACCAUGCUAUCUCAUGAAAAAAUUCAGCUAGCGCGGUGUUGACUGAAUAGGUUUGAGUGCUCUCCUCUGCUGAAUGACCUUACUAGGCAUGUGCAAGCUUCUGACCUGUUUUGCAAUGACUCAGCUCUGGGUAGGAGCAAAGAUCAGCACACCAGACUUCAAGGCAGACUGGACAAGGGAAAGCAGUUGCAUUUGUGCUGGAACCAUUUAGAAGUGCAGGCAGUGUAGCUGGAAAGGAGGAACGGUCAGUCAGAGGAUGCUGAGAGCGAGUCCUGUGUCUAGUGGGGCUCUUAUAAUUUCGCAUGCCAGCCUGCGCCCCAGACUGAGGAAGAAUGUCUGACUGUCUCCAGAUCAUGCCCAGAGUGGGAGGACUGAUCUAACAGCUGAGAAGAGGAAGGACAUACCUAUAGCUGUGUGUUUUGUGCUGCUUCUGAGGCUUGUUGCCCCCCUUGUGAGCCAGUUUGGCUUGGUGGCGUGAUGGGGCACUGUACUGACAAAUGGGUAGAUUUUGGGUAGGUUGAUAAGCUGAAUCUGUCUGUGGAAGAGCUCAUUGAGAACCAGAACUGGUACAAGGACAGGGCCUGGCAAAGCAGGGGUGGCAGAGCAACAAGAUUCAUCUUCUUUUCAGCAACAGAGAGCCCUAACAUCAGCUCGGGAUGUGGUUUGGCGAGGGUACCUUCUUAAAGAGGGACAGGGGGCUUUUCCUGAGUGCUGGGAGGCUUUCCAGCUAUAAAGGCUUUAUAGGUCUUGUAACAGACCUUAUAAGUACCUUGAGGGAGACGUGAUUUAGGAUGAGCAAAGCUCCACGUACCACAAAUUCAGAACUGUUAUGGUGAGGAAGUGAAGUUUUGCUAUAAAAUGACUGUUACUUUCCAUGACAGACUUAGGAAAUAGGUUCGUGCUGUCUGUGAGCAGCAGACUGUAUAUUUAAAAAAAAAAAAAAAAAAAAAAAGGGUGUGUGUGUGUGUUUUUACAGCUGCACUGUUUGGGGGGGCGUUAAAUGGAGGGAGAAAUGAAUUGUUAUAUUCUGGGUAUCUCUAACCACAGAGGGAGUGACGCAUGUGCUUGGUGGAGCUGGAAUGUGGAAGCUGUCGGUGCUGGCUCCGAGAUGCGUCUCCCCACACUGACAGCCAUGCUGGGACUCAAGUCAUUGUCUUCCAGUGUGGGGAGCUGGGGCUCCAGAAGCUCCCAGGCUCACUAACUCUGUGCUGUUGGUUGCAACAGAUAAAACAGUACUCCUAGAUUACCAUUACCUAUGGGUUACCUAUAAGAACAGUAUCACACAAAUGUUGUCUUUAGAUAUUCAAAGCUUGCUUAAGUAGCAGCUUAUUUUAAUAGUAAGAUGAUGCUCUUUCAUGAUAUUUUACUACUUACUGAACUUACUGAAGUGCAAAGGGAAUGUAAAUUGCCUACUACAGAGGAGGUGCAAUUUGCUUGAUUUCCCCCCCUGGAUUUUAAAACACUUCAUGCUAGGGAUUCCUUAUUGUCCUUUGUCUUUCUUCAAGGCUCUUUGCCACUUGACAGUAUUUGACAAGAGAUUAUAAACAUGGAGGCAAUAUAGAGCAUAGCAGGCCACUUACUUCUGUGUAACUGUUGAAUGUUUUAGGUGCCCUAAUAAGCCCUGCAAAGCUGAGUGAUUAGUUUUUUAAACACACUGUCAAAAGUAAAUAGUGUGUGCAUUGUCUCCUCCUUCUCCCCCCAGUUCAACCUCUGAGUAAUUUCAAUAUCCUAAAUUUAGUUGUUAUAAUUUCAUGCCAGCUCCAUGUUUCCUUCUGGCCAGGGAAAAUACCUUUAUGUUGCAAUACAAUGCUGGGAACAGUAAUAGUUAUUUAGAUACUAAUACUGCUGGGAAAAUUACAUCCAUUUUAUCCCUUGAGUUACUUCUAAAAUUGGUUCUAAUGGAUCCAUGAAAAGAAUCAAAGCAGACUGAGAAAGAAAAGUACAUCAGCGCUUUCGUUUGCCUGACUUGAAUUUGGAAUGUGGGAACAAAACAGAAUAUUUAAAUACAGGUGGGAGAGCUGGGACAAGGAUGAAAGUGUUGGUUCAGACUUUGGCUGCAGGCAUUCACAGAAGUGUCAGAUGGUAGGAUCAUUUAAACAGAAAAUGGCUCUUCCUGAAUAAUUUUAUGCUGUUUGGGUAGUGGGGUGCCAAAGAUAGAUUUUUAAUUGUCUGAGGGCAUCCAGGUUCCCAAAGUGAUGCUUCCUUGCUUUGCACUGAACAGAAGUGCGGUGAGUAGACCUUUACUCAGUUGGACUUGCUAGUAGAUAACCACCUACCCUGAUAAAUAAAAUAGUGCAGUUAAACUUGU